AUGGGAUGUGUGGUUGCGGGGAAGGCGGGGUUUUGUGAGACGUUUUUGGGACAGGCUGACGGCUUUGGAGAGGAGGUGGCGAAUUUUUUUGGCCAACUCUGGGUCAUCCCCUCCCCGUCCCAUAGCCGCCGCCUACAUAAGCCUAGGCCUCUCCCUCCAAACCCUAGGUAUGUUAUCCCCAAAUUGUUUUGGGUGAGGAAAGAUCUAUUUCAAUCAAGAAACUUCUCGGUCCAGGAUUUCUUCCCGAUCUCGUCUAUUGGUCCAUUUGACCCUGUCCCUACCAUCUUCAAGAUCUCCACUGAAAAUCCUAGGUUUCCUAGAUCAUUCGCUGAAGUUGUUAAGAAAGGGAUGGAAAACCGUGGCCAGAUGCCACAAAGGAAUCGUCGGCCACCUCCAGGGAAGAAGCCCAACCCCCAGGAGGGGAAAUCUGCUCCCGCGGCUUCGAUCGCUGCGGGGAAGCUGGGUCAACAGGGGGCGACCAAAUCCAAUCAGGUGAUCCAAGCCCAGGUCGUUCCCCCGGUUGCCGAUGCCCCACCCCCUGUUCCUCCACCGCCAGUAAUUCAGCCUCUAGAUCCUAAGUACAAGGAGAUGAUAUGCUUUAAUUGUAGCUGGCCUGGCCAUUAUGUGGGGAACUGUGUGGAGUCAAAAAAGUGUUUUAUCUGUGCUGGGAACCAUAAUGUCAACAACUGUGCUGCUUGGGAUAAACCUCAGCCCGAUGCCACUUAUUUUGGUAGUGCUGCUUCUGGGUUAGGGUUCUAUCACAUUGAGGUUCCUGUUGCUGCUGAAUCUAGUUGGCUUAAUUACAAAAACUAUGUUGUUCUUAAGGUGGUUAAGGGAGAGGUCUCUGCCUCUGAACUACUGACCCAGUUAAAUGGAAUCUUCUGCAAGAAUAAGGAAUGGCCAUGGCAAAUCAGAGAGUUGGAAAGUAAGAAAUUUUUGCUGAGGUUUCCACCUUGGAAAAAUGUGGAUGACCUGAUUGAGUUCCCUUCUUUUGAAUUGCCUGUUGCUGGAGUGUCAGUUAAGAUCUGUGAAUGGGAAGGUAUGUUGGAUGAAUUUGGGGCCCUGACUGAAGCUUGGGUACAGAUUGAAGGUAUUCCACCCAAAUGGUGUGCAUGGAAGGUGUUUGCCCAGAUUGCUGCUUGCUUUGGCAUCCUUGUGGAUGUGGAUUGGAAUGGCAUUUUCAAAAGCUUCUAUGAAAAAGUUCGAGUUAAAAUUGCCUGUAGAGACCCCAGAAAAAUUCCCUUUGAGAGACUGGUGGAGAUGAAAAAGAAACUUUACUUACUGUUUUUUACAGUGGAAGGUUUUGAGCAGAUUGAUGAGAACAAUGAUGGAGAUGAUGAUGACCCAGAGCUGGAUAAUCUAGAAGGAAAUGAAGAAAAUAAAAAUAAAGAUCCUGAAGAAAAAGAGGGUAUGGAAGAGGAUGAGGAGGAGGCAAUUGAUGAAUUAGAUAAGGCCAAUUUCCCUUCCAAGACCAACAACCAAACCAGUUUGAACAAAAAAAUAUCUCAGGGGGCUGCUUCUGCAGUUGAAAAACUUCCAAUUAGCACAGGCAAUGACAUGCAAGUUCUGAUGUCAGAGAGCUAUGAGAACUUAACACCAGUGAAGAUAUGUGAAGAAGGGAGUGAUCCAAGUUUGGGAUCUGGAAAAUCUAAUGUGCUGUCAGUCCAUCUAGACUAUUGUUCUGAACAACUGAGUAAAUUUGAGAUGGAAGAAUCUGAGGGGGAAGAAGAUAAUGUCAAUAUGGAUAUGGAAUGUUUACCAGAAGAUCUAACUCUGGCAUUGACCUUUGUUAAGAGAUCCCUACUUGAUUCCCUGGAAAAGGCAGACAUUGUGGUCAAGAAAAAAAUCAACAACAAGAACUCACCUACAUGGGGCCUAGUGCUUGCUGUCAAACCAAAAACCAGAAACCAUGGAGAUGUAAAGAUUAUGGAUAAAGCAGCUGCUUACAUGAAGAAGAAGAAUUUGGAGGUUCCAACUACUUUCAAAGGUAAAUCAUUUGCUAACUUAGACCCUAAUGAACUUGCUUCAUAUUCUUCUAGGGUGGACUUGUGCAUUGGUAACAAUGAGGAAGAGAGGAAUGAUAUCAUUCUUGAUAUUAUUAACAAUGAGAAACUUAGAUGUUUGCAAUUUGCUGAUGACAAUCCGGAGAUUGUUCUCCCUGACAAUUUAGACCUGAUAGAAACGAAUGACUAUUUUUCUGACUCUGAACAAAAAGACUCACCAAAUGCUGAUUCAGUUGGCACUGAUGUUUCAGCUGUGGUCUGUCCUACUUUGAACACCAAGAAAAAGCCUUGUGGCUUAUCCCAUCCUUUUAAAUUUAAAUGA
rnacentral:rRNA from 1 species